GUGCUCGCUUUGGCCGCACAUAUACUGAAAUUGGAAUGAUACAGAGAUUAGCAUGGCCCCUGCACAAGGAUGACAUGCAAAUUUGAGAAGCAUUCCAUAUUUUA
ensembl:snRNA U6 U6 spliceosomal RNA